UCGGUGCUCUUCACUGAGUGUCGAGGUGGGCCGGCACGUUUACUUUGAACAAAUUAGAGUGCUUCAAGCAGGCUGGAUAUUGCCUGAAUGCUAGUGCAUGGAAUAAUGGAAUAGGACCUCGGUUCUAUUUUGUUGGUUUUCGGAACCAGAGGUAAUGAUUAAUGGAGACAGGCGGGGGCAUUCGUAUUGCGACGUUAGAGGUGAAAUUCUUGGAUCGUCGCAAGACGGACCGAAGCGAAAGCAUUUGCCAAGGAUGUUCUCGUUGAUCAAGAACGAAAGUUAGAGGUUCGAAGGCGAUCAGAUACCGCCCUAGUUCUAACCAUAAACGAUGCCAGCUAGCGAUCCGCCAAAGUUCCUUUGAUGACUUGGCGGGCAGCUUCCGGGAAACCAAAGCUUUUGGGUUCCGGGGGAAGUAUGGUUGCAAAGCUGAAACUUAAAGGAAUUGACGGAAGGGCACCACCAGGAGUGGAGCCUGCGGCUUAAUUUGACUCAACACGGGAAACCUCACCAGGCCCGGACACUGGAAGGAUUGACAGAUUGAGAGCUCUUUCUUGAUUCAGUGGGUGGUGGUGCAUGGCCGUUCUUAGUUGGUGGAGCGAUUUGUCUGGUUAAUUCCGAUAACGAACGAGACUCUAGCCUGCUAACUAGUCGUUUCCGGCUUCUCUUUGCAGCCGGCGAAGACAAAUCUUCUUAGAGGGACAGGCGGCUUCUAGCCGCACGAGAUUGAGCAAUAACAGGUCUGUGAUGCCCUUAGAUGUUCUGGGCCGCACGCGCGCUACAAUGAAGGUAUCAGCGUGUCCUCCCUGGCCGAAAGGUCCGGGUAACCCGCUGAACCACCUUCGUGCUUGGGAUUGGGGCUUGAAAUUGUUCCCCAUGAACGAGGAAUUCCCAGUAAAGGCGUGUCAUUAGCACGCCUUGAUUACGUCCCUGCCCUUUGUACACACCGCCCGUCGCUACUACCGAUUGAAUGAUUUAGUGAGGUCUUCGGACUGGCGCGCGGUGAUCUCUCGGGACCGCCGAUGCCGCCGGAAAGAUGACCAAACUUGAUCA
rnacentral:rRNA from 1 species